rnacentral:rRNA from 1 species
UACGUAGGGUGCAAGCGUUAAUCGGAAUUACUGGGCGUAAAGCGUGCGCAGGCGGUGAUGUAAGACCGAUGUGAAAUCCCCGGGCUUAACCUGGGAACUGCAUUGGUGACUGCAUCGCUAGAGUAUGGCAGAGGGGGGUGGAAUUCCACGUGUAGCAGUGAAAUGCGUAGAGAUGUGGAGGAACACCGAUGGCGAAGGCAGCCCCCUGGGCCAAUACUGACGCUCAUGCACGAAAGCGUGGGGGAGCAAACAGG